AUGGAAUUCUUGUGCUGGCAGGAAUCUAUACAUGGGUCUUGAAGAAAAGGAUGAUGGAGGUUGGAGUACUGAGGGGAAUUCAAAUACACCCUCCUCCAAUCUUCUGUCAAUUUGUAUAUGUUUCUGGGCCAUCAGCUCCUGCACUCUAUUCCCUUGUUUUCCUCAAGAACACCAUCGACCAUCGUCAAAUCAAACUUAGGAUGAAGGUGUCUAGAGACUAGAGCAGCAGCUUUAUUGGCUUAAGGCAUAGCACAAACCGGCAAGUCACGAAACGGCAAUGGCGGCUCAGAUGACUCCA
rnacentral:sRNA from 1 species